rnacentral:rRNA from 1 species
GACGAACGCUGGCGGCGUGCUUAACACAUGCAAGUCGAACGGAAAGGCCCUGCUUUUGUGGGGUGCUCGAGUGGCGAACGGGUGAGUAACACGUGAGUAACCUGCCCUUGACUUUGGGAUAACUUCAGGAAACUGGGGCUAAUACCGGAUAGGAGCUCCUGCUGCAUGGUGGUGGUUGGAAAGUUUCGGCGGUUGGGGAUGGACUCGCGGCUUAUCAGCUUGUUGGUGGGGUAGUGGCUUACCAAGGCUUUGACGGGUAGCCGGCCUGAGAGGGUGACCGGCCACAUUGGGACUGAGAUACGGACCAGACUCGUACGGGAGGCAGCAGUGGGGAAUAUUGCAGAAUGGGCGGAAGCCUGAUGCAGCAACGCCGCGUGCGGGAUGACGGCCUUCGGGUUGUAAACCGCUUUCGACUGUGACGAAGCGUGAGUGACGGUAAUGGGUAAAGAAGCACCGGCUAACUACGUG